UACGGAGGGAGCAAGCGUUACUCGGAAUUAUUGGGCGUAAAGGGCGCGUAGGCGAUUCGAUAAGUCUCAUGUGAAAUCCCAGGGCCUAACCCUGGAAUGGCAUGGGAUACUGUUGGAUUUGAGUUCCGGAGAGGAAGGCAGAAUUCCCGGUGUAGCGGUGAAAUGCGUAGAUAUCGGGAGGAAUACCAGUGGCGAAGGCGGGUCUCUGGACAGUUCCUGACGCUGAGGCACGAAGGCCAGGGGAGCAAACGGG
rnacentral:rRNA from 1 species